rnacentral:rRNA from 1 species
CCUACGGGUGGCAGCAGUGAGGAAUAUUGGUCAAUGGGCGCGAGCCUGAACCAGCCAAGUAGCGUGAAGGAUGACUGCCCUACGGGUUGUAAACUUCUUUUAUAAAGGAAUAAAGUGUGGCACGUGUGCCAUUUUGUAUGUACUUUAUGAAUAAGGAUCGGCUAACUCCGUGCCAGCAGCCGCGGUAAUACGGAGGAUCCGAGCGUUAUCCGGAUUUAUUGGGUUUAAAGGGAGCGUAGAUGGGUUGUUAAGUCAGUUGUGAAAGUUUGCGGCUCAACCGUAAAAUUGCAAUUGAUACUGGCAGCCUUGAGUACAGAUGAGGUAGGCGGAAUUCGUGAUGUAGCGGUGAAAUGCUUAGAUAUCACGUAGAACUCCGAUAGCGAAGGCAGCUUACUAGACUGCCACUGACAUUGAUGCUCGAAAGUGUGGGUAUCGAACAGGAUUAGAUACCCCUGUAGUC